rnacentral:lncRNA from 1 species
CCGGCCACUCUAUCACCUUAUUCUACUUCCCUAUAAAAUAAUAUCCUAUGUUAACCAGAAUUUUAGGUUUAACUACUUUUAUGGAAGAUCAAUUACAAAUUUUAAGGUUAAUUCAACUCAUAUACAUAUUAAGUUAGAAAUCAGAUAUUGGUUAAUCUGAUAUGCAUGCAGCAGAGCUCUGAGUAAGCAAAGUGGUUAAAUAUUGUAGGUAGUGAGUGCAGUAAAUUCCUAAAGGUGGGCCAUUCUCAAAUCAUUGGUUAUUGGUGGUUCCAUGAAAUCAUUUGAAAGCACUUCCAAAAUAGUCAAACUCCAUAUUACUCUCACACAGUGAAACUGCUUAAUUCAUCGCCAAACAUUUUCAUCCUUUAUAAACCAAUAUUAUCAUGC